GGGUUGUGAGGUUAAGCGACUAAGCGUACACGGUGGAUGCCCUGGCAGUCAGAGGCGAUGAAGGACGUGCUAAUCUGCGAUAAGCGUCGGUAAGGUGAUAUGAACCGUUAUAACCGGCGAUUUCCGAAUGGGGAAACCCAGUGUGUUUCGACACACUAUCAUUAACUGAAUCCAUAGGUUAAUGAGGCGAACCGGGGGAACUGAAACAUCUAAGUACCCCGAGGAAAAGAAAUCAACCGAGAUUCCCCCAGUAGCGGCGAGCGAACGGGGAGGAGCCCAGAGCCUGAAUCAGUGUGUGUGUUAGUGGAAGCGUCUGGAAAGGCGCGCGAUACAGGGUGACAGCCCCGUACACAAAAAUGCACAUGCUGUGAGCUCGAUGAGUAGGGCGGGACACGUGGUAUCCUGUCUGAAUAUGGGGGGACCAUCCUCCAAGGCUAAAUACUCCUGACUGACCGAUAGUGAACCAGUACCGUGAGGGAAAGGCGAAAAGAACCCCGGCGAGGGGAGUGAAAAAGAACCUGAAACCGUGUACGUACAAGCAGUGGGAGCAUGCUUAGGCGUGUGACUGCGUACCUUUUGUAUAAUGGGUCAGCGACUUAUAUUCUGUAGCAAGGUUAACCGAAUAGGGGAGCCGAAGGGAAACCGAGUCUUAACUGGGCGUUAAGUUGCAGGGUAUAGACCCGAAACCCGGUGAUCUAGCCAUGGGCAGGUUGAAGGUUGGGUAACACUAACUGGAGGACCGAACCGACUAAUGUUGAAAAAUUAGCGGAUGACUUGUGGCUGGGGGUGAAAGGCCAAUCAAACCGGGAGAUAGCUGGUUCUCCCCGAAAGCUAUUUAGGUAGCGCCU
rnacentral:rRNA from 1 species